rnacentral:rRNA from 1 species
UGGGGAAUUUUGGACAAUGGGGGCAACCCUGAUCCAGCGACGCCGCGUGGAGGACGAAGGUCUUCGGAUUGUAAACUCCUUUUGUGAGGGAUGAAUGUCUGCGUGAAUAACGCAGAGUGACAGUACUUCAUGAAUAAGCCACGGCUAACUACGUGCCAGCAGCCGCGGUAAUACGUAGGUGGCAAGCGAUACUCGGAAUCACUAGGCGUAAAGCGCAGGUAGGCGGUUCGGUAAGUCUUUUGUGAAAGCUCCCGGCUUAACUGGGAGAGGUCAAAGGAAACUGCCGGGCUAGAGUUUGGUAGGGGAUACUGGAAUUCCUGGUGUAGCGGUGAAAUGCGUAGAUAUCAGGAGGAAUACCUAUGGCGAAAGCAGGUAUCUGGGCCACAACUGACGCUGAGCUGCGAAAGCUAGGGGAGCAAACAGGAUUAGAUACCCCCGUAGUCC